rnacentral:lncRNA from 1 species
AAUGUGGAAACAAGAACUGAGUGAAUAAUUUUUAAUAUUUCCUCUCUUUUUCUCUUCACAGAAUGUCCACAUACAAAUCACGAUUGUCAUAAAGCUGUGACACUUUGGAGUUGCUGGUAUCAGGACUGGCGAGGAUCUGUGGUGUUGCUUUCCUUUCAGACUGAGGAAGCAUUAUAAAAAAUGAAGAUCUGUAUUCUGUUAACUGUUGCUUUAAAAAAUAAGCUAUUAAGGGCAGAUGUGAAAUGAAAUGAGACAUACUGAUGGAAGAGUAAAUAAAAAUGUUAAGACCAUUAAUACUCUGGAGAAA